rnacentral:lncRNA from 1 species
CUCUGAUUUAUGGAACACAAUAAUGACAUGCCACUCGACAAACUUUGGCCUUAAAAAGGGGUUGUAUAGGUGAUACACUGCAUAAAAAUAAAUGUUUUUGUUUGCUCAACCCACUAUGACGCAAAUGGCAGAUCAAAAUCUACCAUUCACUUUUGCAAUUGACAGACGAAACAGAUGUGUAUUAACUGAAAAUGGGGAAUCAGCAGGUCAACAUCAUGAAACCACUGCUGUACAUACAGAUAUUGUUACAACAGUUGUACAUGCUCAGGCAGCUCAGCUCUAAACCAAAAUUGUACAUCCCUACCAAUUGAAAUGUAAGCUGAAGACGUCAUUUGUCCAAGGAACAGUUCUUCCAUAAUCAUCACAAUCCUCACAAGAACAGUCAGGCAAGAAGCAAGACGAGAAGCACCUUAGCCAAGUAAAGAAGAAACAGUCCACUAUUUCUCUGUCUUCACAUCUAACGACCUGAGCUCUUGUAAUAAUUGGUCAUAUUUCUUUCUUUCCUCAGCAAUUUGAGAUCGGAGUUUUUGUUCCUAAAGAAGAGAGG